UCCCCAAAACCCCCCAAAGUUGGCAUUCUGCACCCUCUGCCCAGCUCUGCCCCCUCUGGGCCCUUCCAGCCCACGCACAAAGAGCCACGCAGCCCUGCAAGGUUUGUGUGUUUUAUAAGGUCACCAUUUUUACAGAGAGUAUCACAUUAAAAACAUCCACUCACAAAACGGGCAGGAGGAUGGCUCAGCACCAGAGCCUCGAGCUGAGAUUUCAGAGCCUGUCUGGCCCCCAGAGCCCAGUUCUGCCUCAGUCCGUGAGGUUCCUGGCCCCUUCACUGCAAUGACAUUCCUGGGUCCCCAAGGGGUGACAGAGCCUGGGCUGGGAUCGCAGCGGCACCAGCGCCUGCUCUGGGAUCCCCACCCCACUGCCAGGCCCUGCCCCGCUCCCCUCACCGAGGGAGAACGUGAACUUUCCUCCUGGAUGCCAACAGUUCCUUUGGAUGUCAUCCCAAAUCCUUACUUUGCCUUUUUUUUCUUUUCUUAUUUUUUGUAUUUUUUUGUUGUUUUUUUGUUUUUGUUUAAAACGUUACGCUGGCAGAAAAAUCCCAAACAAAGCAGCGACACAAGAGUGGGGUCAGCAGUAAAAGAACAGGGCAAUGGGACAGAGAGAGCACAUUCACAAAUGCUGGGGCUGCUCCUCACGCAGCCCCCGAGCGGGGCACAAACGGAACCAGCAGCAAACCGGGCAGGGCAGAGCCGGCCCUGCCGGCACCGGGGCCCCGGAGCAGCGACACAGCCCCGUCCUGCCCGGGGGAGCAGAUCAGAUCAUCCCUCAGCAGAUCAUCCUCAGCCGUGGGAUGGUCCAGGCAACGAUCACUGCACAGAGCUGGUUUGCAGGCUGCCAAUGCAGAAGCCGCUUCAGCUGCAGCUCCCCGGGUCCAAGCUCCCUGCAGCCUCCCCAGGCUGGGUUUGCUCUGUCGGGCAGGUCCAUCCAAGGCAGGACCAUCCAUGGGCAGAUCCAUCCACGGGCAGGUCCAUCCAAGGCAGAUCCAUCCAAGGCAGGUCCAUCCAUGGGCAGGGUCCAUCCACGGGCAGGGUCCAUCCAAGGCAGAUCCAUCCAAGGCAGAUCCACCCACGGGCAGGGUCCACCCAAGGCCGCCUCCGCCAGGCCCGGUGCUCGGGCACCCUG